UAGCCCAAAAGCGCCGCACUGAAGAUGCGGUUGUCGUGGGUUCAAAUCCCAC
rfam:Candidate divison MSBL1 archaeon SCGC-AAA382C18 AAA382C18_Contig_7_C, whole genome shotgun sequence.